CUAAAAAUGUGACUAUAGUCAAUCACCCUGAUGAUGAAAGGAAAGCUAGCAGUGGUGCAGAGCUAAUUUCCAUUGACUUUCUGUUGCUGUUAUGGAGAAUAAUUCAGUGAUUAUCUAUAUGUAUUGAAAUAAUGCAGUAAAGGUGGCAGAUGCAUAUUAAAUACAACCAGUUUAGGAUUUUAAAUAGAGGAACUAGAGAUUUGAGAAGUGGAGUAAAAAAGACAAGAGAAUGAGAAGGAAGACUGAGUGUGCAAGCGAGAAGAGUAUGAAGGGGACCUGAGGAGGAGAUGCCUGAGCAGGAUCUGAGAUGGUUGACCUGAAUUUUUCUGAGUCCUCUUUUAUACAUCCAGAAGGCUACAUGCUGAGAAUCCACACUCAUUUUGCCAGGAUUGCAGAUGCCUGGACC